rnacentral:rRNA from 1 species
GACGAACGCUGGCGGCGUGCUUAACACAUGCAAGUCGAACGGAAAGGCCCUGCUUUUGUGGGGUGCUCGAGUGGCGAACGGGUGAGUAACACGUGAGUAACCUGCCCUUGACUUUGGGAUAACUUCAGGAAACUGGGGCUAAUACCGGAUAGGAGCUCCUGCUGCAUGGUGGGGGUUGGAAAGUUUCGGCGGUUGGGGAUGGACUCGCGGCUUAUCAGCUUGUUGGUGGGGUAGUGGCUUACCAAGGCUUUGACGGGUAGCCGGCCUGAGAGGGUGACCGGCCACAUUGGGACUGAGAUACGGCCCAGACGCCUACGGGAGGCAGCGGUGGGGAAUAUUGCACAAUGGGCGGAAGCCUGAUGCAGCAACGCCGCGUGCGGGAAGACGGCCUUCGGGUUGUAAACCGCUUUCGCCUGUGACGAAGCGUGAGUGACGGUAAUGGAUAAAGAAGCACCGGCUAACUACGUG